UAAAUUGAGGGUCUUUUAUGCAUUUGUGCUCCUUGUGGCUACUGUGGGCAAUGUGUAUGAGUGUGUUUGACCUCUGGACUAGUUGUCCAUGACCUGAUAGUCUUUGCGGAAAUCGAAAAGUCGAUUUCGGCACGUUUUUCGGCGAAAUUCGCCGAAAGAACGCAGUUUCGGUUCGAAUUCUUUCUGACGGUGUUUGGUUGCUUCGUGUUUUGUCGCUGAGCCUUGUUGGCUGGUCACCAUCAUCAUUUUGUGGGUUCGAUGAUGAUGGGUGAGCGACGGAGGGUUUCGGUGUCGAAAUAGACACUUCCGGGAAUCCGGAUUCGUACGAUUAUCCGGCGAUGAUCGUAUUGUUGUGUUACCUCGUGUUCGCUGCCAAGGCAUCCAAAUUGGAAUGUUUUGGGGCAGCGGGUGAUUCGUGGUACGAGUCGGUGAGUUCGGGACACUUAGUGGGUCCCGACGACGUCCCGGUGUGGUUUUCGGGACUUCCGGUGAGUUACGGUAAUCGGUUUUGGGAAACCGAUUACGGGGAUCCUGUGUGGGGGUUUGUGAGUCUCGUGCUUUGGGUUAGUGGUUUGGAUACUGACUUGGUGGAUCUUCUUAGGUCCGGUAGACUCUGUGCGUACCCAGUGUUCCGACGCGACAGUGACAGGUGGGUGCUUCGAGCUGGUAGUCGGUGAGAGCGUUUCACCUCCUUCUCCUGUUUUUCUAUUCCUCUAUUUUGUCACGCCCCGGGGUCCCUUUAGGUUAAAAACACAGCGGAAAUUUUUUUUUUUUUUUUUUUUUUUGCAAACCUGACCCCAGGGUAUGCCAGAUCCGCCACAAAUACAGGGAAUCCACUGUUCACACGGACAGAGUCUCCCCUGUAUUUGCACGGUGUCGCACAAGUACAAAAGUAUAGCCAGGAAACAACCACAACCAAAUGAAUAUAAAGAUAACUAUACAUUCAUACAUUCACCAUUCACAUCACAGUUUUACAUUCAGUGUUUAAAUAGAAAUUCACGAAAAUUCUUUUGAAAACUGUUCCCUACACGGAAACCUUUAUUCGUUAAAAACGCUACCACGAGGGGUAGAAAACCUUUUAUUUUACAAAAUCCAGAAAUCCACAUUUUCAAAUGUAAUAAAUACUGAACCACAUAAACCAACU
rnacentral:lncRNA from 1 species